rnacentral:rRNA from 1 species
CCUACGGGAGGCUGCAGUGAGGAAUAUUGGUCAAUGGACGAGAGUCUGAACCAGCCAAGUAGCGUGAAGGAUGAAUGCCCUAUGGGUUGUAAACUUCUUUUAUAUGGGAAUAAAAUGUUCCACGUGUGGGAUUUUGUAUGUACCAUAUGAAUAAGGAUCGGCUAACUCCGCGCCAGCAGCCGCGGUAAUACGGAGGAUCCGAGCGUUAUCCGGAUUUAUUGGGUUUAAAGGGAGCGUAGGGGGAUUGUUAAGUCAGUUGUGAAAGUUUGCGGCUUAACCGUAAAAUUGCAGUUGAAACUGGCAGUCUUGAGUACAGGAGAGGUGGGCGGAAUGCGUGGUGUAGCGGUGAAAUGCUUAGAUAUCACGAAGAACUCCGAUUGCGAAGGCAGCUUACUGGACUGCAACUGACACUGAGGCUCGAAAGUGUGGGUAUCAAACAGGAUUAGAUACCCCAGUAGUC